GGUCAGCUUUCACAUAUUCUUUGUUCUUUAGAUUUUCAAUUUCACUUAUUAAUGUUAGAAAUUAUUCAUUCCUAUUUGCUAUAGUUUCUUUCUUGAUGGAAUACUCUUAGUCACAAAAUUGUUCCUUAUUGUAGGCUGGCAUGACCAAGACAGAUUCUGUUGUUCAGACUCUUUCAGACAUUAACCCUGAUGUUGUACUAGAAUGUUGUAGACAUUGACAGUGAGAAGACAUCUGCUGCAAGCAGAAGUUCCGAUGCCCUUCCAGAAGGUCUCAUGCAUGAGCUUCCGAGCUCCGAUAGACUUCAAGAAUCACCAUUUAGUCCAGGAGACCGUCACCAUCAGUGAUGAUCUUGAGGAUCUCCAACGGCAACUUGAUGCCCUCAAUGCAGCUUGACUUUACCCAAAGACUUAACAUUACCCUGUAUCACGAGAAACAAUGUGUUAAAUAACUUUUAAGAUAUUUUUGGGAUGGUAAAACUCAAGAAGUAGUUAUUUAACACCCUUUUGUUAUUAGUAUUAAAUAUUUGAGGAUGGUGGAAUUUUAUUUAUUAAUGUUAUUAAUGAAUGGAGUUUUUAUUUUCUCUUUUAUUAA